rnacentral:rRNA from 1 species
CGCAAGCCUGACGGAGCAAGACCGCGUGCGGGAUGACGGCCUAAUGGUUGUAAACCGCUUUUCUCUGGGAAGAUGAUGACGGUACCAGAGGAAUCAGCCUCGGCUAACUCCGUGCCAGCAGCCGCGGUAAUACGGAGGAGGCAAGCGUUAUCCGGAAUUAUUGGGCGUAAAGCGUCCGCAGGGGGCACAUCAGGUCUGCUGUUAAAGGCUGGAGCUUAACUCCGGUAGAGCAGUGGAAACUGGUGUGCUAGAGGGCGACAGGGGUAGAGGGAAUUCCCAGUGUAGCGGUGAAAUGCGUAGAGAUUGGGAAGAACACCGGUGGCGAAAGCGCUCUACUGGGUCGCACCUGUCCCUCAGGGACGAAAGCUAAGGUAGCG